rnacentral:RNase_P_RNA from 1 species
CGCAAGUGAGGAAAGUCCGGACACCGUAAGGCAGAGUGCCGGCUAACUACCGGUUAAGGCGACUUAAAGGAAAGUGCAACAGAAAUAAACCGCCUGCAACGCAGGUAAGGAUGGAAAGGCGAGGUAAGAGCUCACCGAUUCCGCGGCGACGCGGAAUGCCCUGUAAACCCCACUCGGUGCAAGAGAAAACGACUUUAUGCGGCAGCCUGUCGCGUCGGAAAAUCGCUUGAGCGCGUCGGCAACGCCGCGCCUGGAUAGAUGGCCAUCGUAAACAGAAUCCGGCUUACUGAUUA